rnacentral:rRNA from 1 species
AUUGAACGCUGGCGGCAGGCUUAACACAUGCAAGUCGAGCGGGGGAGGUUGCUUCGGUAACUGACCUAGCGGCGGACGGGUGAGUAAUGCUUAGGAAUCUGCCUAUUAGUGGGGGACAACAUUCCGAAAGGGAUGCUAAUACCGCAUACGCCCUACGGGGGAAAGCAGGGGAUCUUCGGACCUUGCGCUAAUAGAUGAGCCUAAGUCGGAUUAGCUAGUUGGUGGGGUAAUGGCCUACCAAGGCGACGAUCUGUAGCGGGUCUGAGAGGAUGAUCCGCCACGCUGGGACUGAGACACGGCCCAGACUCCUACUGGAUGCAGCAGUGGGUAAUAUUGGACAAUGGGCGGAAGCCUGAUCCAGCCAUGCCGCGUGUGUGAAGAAGGCCUUUUGGUUGUAAAGCACUUUAAGCGAGGAGGAGGCUCUUAAGGUUAAUACCUAGAGAUAGUGGACGUUACCCGCAGAAUAAGCACCGGCUAACUCUGUGCCAGCCGCCGCAGUAACAC